GACGUAGGGCGCGAGCGUUGUCCGGAUUUAUUGGGCGUAAAGAGCUCGUAGGCGGCUUGUCGCGUCGACUGUGAAAACCCGCGGCUCAACCGCGGGCCUGCAGCCGAUACGGGCAGGCUAGAGUUCGGUAGGGGAGAGUGGAAUUCCCGGUGUAGCGGUGGAAUGCGCAGAUAUCGGGAGGAACACCAGUAGCGAAGGCGGCUCUCUGGCCGGU
rnacentral:rRNA from 1 species